GAUCCGCACGCCUCAGCCUCCCAAAAUGCUGGGAUUACAGGCAUGAGCCACUGCACCCGGCCUAUUUCUUUUACCAGUACUAUCAAAGACUCAGCUGUUAUUGCUUCUGGCCCAUUUCUGUCUGAUCUUUCGGGAACACUAAUUGAACAUAUAUUAAACCUUUACUUUUUUUUCCUCUGUUUGCCAUCUCUCUUAAAGUCUCUUUCUGAUUUUUAGUUUUUUGUGUCUCUGGCUUUUCUAGAUGGUUUCUUCACCCCGUUUUAUGUUUACUCAUUCUUUGGCUGUGGCUAAUUUGUUAUGAAACCUGGUUUUUAAUUUUGGUUGUUAUAUUUUUUCAUUUCCAGAAAUUCCACUGGGUUGCUUUUCAAAUAUGCUAGUCUGUUUUACACAGUUCCUGGCUUUCCCCGGAAAAUUCCAUCUUGCUUUUGAUGCCUCUAAUCAGAGUGUGCAUAGUUUUAAUAUCCUCGUCUGGUAAUUUGAAUAUCUGAGGUCUUUCCAGGUCUGUUUGGCUAUCUCCUCCUUCCUGCCUCCCCCUCCUCCUUCCUGCCUCCUCCUCCCCCUUUUUUCUUUUUAUCUUAUUUUCCAUGUCAUGUUUGCUUUUGACUGUCCAUGAAAAACUGCUUGUAGGGGUCCUGUGAGCCCUACAUGAAGCUGUCCCUCCAAAGAGGCUGGAAUUUGCUUCUUCCAGGCGCCCAGGGGACGUGGAAAGCAGGGACCACUUCACCUUAAAUUACAGGCUUGCAGUGUUCCAGGUCAUGCGUGUGAUCCAGGUCACCCUCGUGAUGCAGGUGUGAUGCAUGGAGCUGCUGCAGCCACCUUGGCACCAUGUGGCGAGCCUCAGGCUGAAGAUGGGGAUAAGAGGGAAAGGAGCCUGUGUCUUUGGUGUUGAUGCUAUGGAGAUGUUUAAUCGGCCAGUAUUGGUGUCUGCCCCAUCUCUGGACUUCUCGCUACGUGAGGCCGACCGCAGUGGCUCACACCUGUAAAUCCAGCAUUCUGGGAGGGCGAGGCAGGAGGAUCGCUGGUGCCCAGGAGUUCAAGACCAGCCUGGCAACAUAGGGAGACCCUGUCUCUACGAGAAAUUUAAAAAAUAGCUGGGCGUGGUGGUGUGCACCUUCCCAAGGUCUCAGCUAUUUGGGAAGCUGAGGUGGGAGGAUCACUUGAACCCAGGAGGUUGAGGCUGCAGUGAGCUUCGAUGGUGCCACUGCACUUUCCAGCCUGGGGGACGGAGUGAGACACUGUCUCAAAACAAACAAAACCCCAAACCAAAAGCCAAACAGAUUUUCUCACAUUCUACUCAUGUUUUUAUAGGAAAGCAAAACUCCUGACAGCAAGUUGCCUUUUUUGUGGCAUCUCUUUAGUUUUCUGUCGUUCAGAGCCGCUCCUGAGCCUGUUUUUCAGCAUCCUGAUCUUUUUCUGAGCACUGAGUGACAGGCAUUCUGUAGCAACGUCCCUCAACUUCAAGUGUUUGCUCACGGUUUGAAUU
rnacentral:lncRNA from 13 species